rnacentral:rRNA from 1 species
UACGUAGGGUGCAAGCGUUGUCCGGAAUUAUUGGGCGUAAGAGCUCGUAGGCGGUUUGUCGCGUCUGCUGUGAAAACCCGAGGCUCAACCUCGGGCCUGCAGUGGGUACGGGCAGACUAGAGUGCGGUAGGGGAGAUUGGAAUCCUGGUGUAGCGGUGGAAUGCGCAGAUAUCAGGAGGAACACCGAUGCGAAGGCAGAUCUCUGGCCGUAACUGACGCUGAGGAGCG